GUGAGACCAGAGGAAGAAAAAAAAUGACUUCCUUUCCUGUUGGAAACCUAAUAAGUAGUUAGUCUGACCCAGUUUUCAAUAAGAGAGAUUUUCUGAUGACCCGACAGGAGUGACUGUCUCCAGUCAAAGAAAGAGGAGGGUGAAUUUAAUCUUUCAUGCCACUGGAAUGGCAGCUGCUCUCAGCUCUCUCUGAUUCUGUGAAGGAUGAUGAAGAUAGGACUGGAUUUCAAUGUAGGGAGAAUUUUCCUGUUGAAUAUUCCAAACGAGAGCUUUGCACAUGUGCUUCAAGAACUAAUUGUCUAGGUUCCGUCAGGAAUGCAGCAGGAGAGGAGCGUAUUUCACGCUUAAGACCAGAGAAGAGCCACGCAAUACUCAGUGGAUAAAAGGCUUGCAGUCCCAGCUGGGAAAAAGAGUCCCAUUAUCUCCCAGCUGCAUAGACAUUCCAUACGGCUUGGUUCUGCCUGGAUGCACAGCAUGCCUGGCUGAGAGCUUGAAACAGAGUUCUGCAGAAAAAUUGUAAAGAUCCCGAGACAUUUCCCUGACUCUUGAGAUACUGACUGGAAGAUAGACUUUUUUUCCUGUUGAUUGUAUGGGAGAAAUUUUUGACCUUAGAAAGUGGAGAUGAGGUUGCUAUGGAAACUGAUAAUUCUGCUGCCACUCAUCAACUCUUGUGCAGGUGAUGGACUUUUCAGCCGCCCUAUUUUUACUCAGGAGCCGGAAGAUGUCAUUUUUCCUUUGGAUUUAUCAAAAUCUGAAAUCAUCUUGAAUUGUGCUGCUAGUGGUUACCCUUCACCCCAUUAUAGGUAAAA